CAAGGGUUAGUUUAAACAAAAUACUGGUUUUGGAGACCUGAGUUAGGAGAUUUCCUCCCCUUGA
rnacentral:tRNA from 1 species